UGCUUAUGUAGUGAAUUGCUUUUCAAAGACGUGAGCAGGACAUUUUACUUAAUGUUGAACAUAUAAAAUGGAAAUUAUAAUGGAUUUUGAACUACAGAAAAAGCGCAAGAAAAAAAAAACUAAAAGUACAUAAACGUGUGGACCAGCAAAUUAUUGGAAACUUUAUGCCAAGGAAAGCACUAGUGAAUUGCUGACAUGUAAUAAAAUGAGAAGCACAGCUUGGACCAAUAAGACAUUGAUCAACUUAGAGGGCUUUAUAGAACAAGCAAUUUGGCUUUGAAAAUGGCUUGAGAGACCACUGGACCUAGCCUGCUGAAUUAAUCACUUUUGAGGUUCCAAGUGCUUGUUGAUGAGCAGGCAUGAUCUUGCUUGGUGGGGAAGGCAGAUUAAGACCUAGCCUAGCGCCACUGGACCUUGCCUGCUUAUGAAUUAAUCACUUUUGAGGUUCCAAGUGCUUGUUGAUGAGCAGGCAUGAUCUUGCUGGGUGGGGAAGGCAGAUUAAGACCUAGCCUAGCGCCACUGGACCUAGCCUGCUUAUGAAUUAAUCACUUUUGAGGUUCCAAGUGCUUGUUGAUGAGGAGGCAUGAUCUUGAUUGGUGGGGAAGGCAGAUUAAGACCUAGCCUAGCAAGCAGCCUUGCUGGUGGCCUGGUAAGCAUGUUGUAGGGUAAGUAUCCUUGUUGGAAAGUAGGGCACCCACCCUUGUUGUAUUAGCAAGACCUACCUAAAGCUCUUCUCCUUAGCACAAUAUAAACUUGGAAACGUACCCUUUUGUGUUGCAAAAGCGUCCGCUGCCGCCGGGCCUUGGUCUUCCCUUUUGAUGCCUUGAUGCGGAUGCGGCUAAAGAGUAGACACAGAGGGCCACAGCACCCUGGCAAAUUUUUUUUUUUUUUUGGCUCCAACUGAAGAAAUGCCACUAAAAAAUUCUUGAAUUAUUUUGAAGCUAAAUUAGUUUACGAUUCAAUCUUAAUUAAUCACUAGUUUGAAUAAAACAUUAAGAAUAUGUUGCUAAUGAUUGUAAUUACCUGACCUCAACUGCUAACAAUAUGUGUAUACAUGCUAUGCAGUUAGGGGUCUUAGAGAUGAGAUUCAGCAACCUGGUUGGCACCCGGCACAACAUAAUCUUCUAUCCUAUAUCGUAUAUUUAUAUCAUAUAGAGUUAAUAGGCCACCUUCUUAAUAUUGGGGACACACCAGGACCC
rnacentral:lncRNA from 1 species